GGAUGUCCGGGAGUGUCUGGAAACAAGUGCUGUGACUCCAAACCCCCUGGUGGAAGAAGAACGCCGUCGUGUUUACAACUGUGACAAUGAGCGCUUACCAGGAUCAACCAAACGCUGGAUUUUCAAAAAAAGAAGACCAAGAAGGAUUCAUGAAGAACCAGCAUCUGUUCCAGCUCACCACCACCCCCUGCCACACGCACCAGACUAACCACACUACUAUGAGACCAGGACCGGUGGCGCCACAUAGCAGCAUUGCCGAUGUGGCACAAGCACACAGUCAGACCUGACCAGCUUCCACAGACUUCAAAAUCAGGAAAAUGCUGAAACAGAAACUAUUGGAACUGGAAUCGGCAGGAAAGGUAAGCGGUUGAUUCUGAUUGGCUUUAUAAUUUCGCCCCGGUCAUGUCUGAAAGCUUUCUCAACUUCUGCUCUGUCCAACAUGGAGUACUGUUGGUUAACUUGGCUCAGUUUAUCCGAGGGCUGUCACACCAUACAGCUCUGCGGGCCUGCAGAGAGGCCUGGCUGUCCGUCUGUGGCCCUGGCACUUCCCAUCUGCCCCCUAACUGCCCUCCUUUACUAGCCCCCUGCUAUCAGACUGUAUGCCCUCCCCACGAACCAUCCCUCUCCAGACAUAAGCCCUGCUACCAGCAGUGUGAUGUAUACAACUUAGCCAAUCAGAACGAGUCUCAAAGGUACAGAAUCAAAAAAAUAGCUCACCCAAAAAUGAAUAUUCUGUUAUCACUC